UCAGACGGGUGCUCUUAUCUGUUCUUAUCAGUUUAAUAUCUGAUACAUCCUCUAUCCGAGGACAAUAUAUUAAAUAUAUUUUUGGAGUCGGGAGAUGGAAUAGGAGCUU